UAAGAGUGAUGAAGCGAGAGGUUGCCACUAUAAAGUGGGUUUUCACGCAGAAUGAUGUCCAGUUCAAGAAACGGGCGACAA
rfam:Clostridiales bacterium GWE2_32_10 gwe2_scaffold_5087, whole genome shotgun sequence.